rnacentral:tRNA from 1 species
CGAACGGUGGUCAGGUUCGGCAUAUUGUUUUGAUCGGGCAGAGCGAAACACCCGUGCGACGCGGGUUUGCGCGGC